UCAGAAAUCCGCUUGCCUCUGCCU
rnacentral:piRNA from 1 species